rnacentral:rRNA from 1 species
UACGUAGGGUGCGAGCGUUAAUCGGAAUUACUGGGCGUAAAGCGUGCGCAGGCGGUUCGUUGUGUCGGUGGUGAAAUCCCCGGGCUUAACCUGGGAAUGGCCAUGGAAACUGGCGAACUGGAGUGUGGCAGAGGGGGGUGGAAUUCCGCGUGUAGCAGUGAAAUGCGUAGAGAUCGGGAGGAACACCGGUGGCGAAGGCGGGUCUCUGGGCAAUUCCUGACGCUGAGGCGCGAAAGCGUGGGGAGCAAACGGG